rnacentral:misc_RNA from 1 species
AGCAGCCGCGGUAAUUCCAGCCCCAAUAGCGUAUAUUAAAGUUGUUGCAGUUAAAAAGCUCGUAGUUGAAUUUCGGGGUUAGUAGGUUGGUCAUGCCUCUGGUAUGUACUGGUCUCACUGAUUCCUCCUUCCUGAUGAGCCGUAAUGCCAUUAAUUUGGUGUUGCGGGGAAUUUGGACUGUUACUUUGAAAAAUUAGAGUGUUUAAAGCAAGCUAACGCUUGAAUACAUUAGCAUGGAAUAAUGAAAUAGGACGUUCGAUCCUAUUUUGUUGGUUUCUAGGAUUGACGUAAUGAUUAAUAGGGAUAGUUGGGGGCAUUAGUAUUCAAUUGUCAGAGGUGAAAUUCUUGGAUUUAUUGAAGACUAACUACUGCGAAAGCAUUUGCCAAGGAUGUUUUCAUUAAUCAAGAACGAAAGUUAGGGGAUCGAAGACGAUCAGAUACCGUCGUAGUCUUAACCAUAAACUAUGCCGACUAGGGAUCGGAUGAUGUUAAUUUUUAAUGACUCAUUCGGCGCCUUAAC